UCCACCCCCUGAGAUUUGGAUGGCCCCAACUGUUAGCCUUUCACAAGGCAUUGAAGACCUGGGUCGGCCAGGAGGGAGAUGAGCUCUGCUACUAUUGAUGGGGCUGAUAGGAGUUGAAGUGCAGCCACGUUUGGAGGAGUAUGAGUUUCCCAUUCCUGGACUAGAGGAUAUUACUACCUUGCCAAGCCAAUUCUGCUACUUUACAUUCAGGCUGUAGCUUACCCUGAAGGAAUGCCUGUGCAUCAGAGCUGGCGCAUUUUGCUGUCUUUUCAACCGUUUGCCUUCACAUCAUACACAGGCAAAUCAGCAGUACCUUUGCUACCUGUGACCACUAUCCAAAACACAAAGGCGUGAGCUAUUGAUUUCCAGCCAUCUCUCUAUUUUGAGAAACAGCAGGUCUGUAACCACCAGGCAAAUGGAAUUUGCUCCAAGGUUCAGAGGGUUGUUAAGCACCCCUGCUUUGAUACAUUCAGCUUAUCUUCGAGACAGGGCUUGUCUGUUCCCCCAGAUUUCUUUCCUUCUGCCAAUAUCAGGAACAAAAAACAGGUAAAAAAACUUGUAAAUCAGGAAGUUGAGGCUGUGUCAAAAUUAUUGCCCUCAUGAGGCAAUCUCUUUGCAGCCCUUUGUGCCUUGAAUAAAUAACAUGUUGUAAAGUCAGACUGUGCAAUUCUUAUGGACAUCAUGCAUCCUGGACUUUAUGCACCGCUUAGCAGCAACUUCGAGUCUGUGCCGAUCUUGCUUUAGAAAUCUUUUACCUAAUCCAUUUACUGCCCUUUUGCAAUGUGAUUAGUCUAUGUAAGAAAUCCCAAAUCUGAUCAGACACAUUUAUAUGAGUGCAAGCAAAAGGUUGCAGAGAAAAGCAAUUUUACCACCAUAUGUUCAUGCAGGGGAUUUGGCCACCAUGUCAUCCUGGGAAAGCUGUGCCUUUAGGCAUCUGGUCUGCCUCAAAGUUGUGCUAUCCUGCACUUUUGCUCUCUUCUGCUUUUAUUUGUUCAGGCUGCAAGUCUGUGUUCAUAGAACAUUCUUACUCAUGGUUAACUUAAUAAAGGUUUACUCAAUUUUCUGGGUUAGCAUGAUAUACUGGCUGGCUUCCCACAAUGCAUUAAACAACUUUAAACCUCUGAAGGGUUCUCUGUUCAUUCUUUGAUUCUUUGUUAGAUUUAUAUUUUGCCUUUCCUCCUGGAGCUCAAGGAGGAAUACAUAGUGCUUCAUCCUCUCUUUUAUCCACACAGCAACA